GGUGUAAGUAUGGUAACAUAUUUAGCUGACUGAUACUAAUAGGUCGAGGGCUUGACCAA
rnacentral:rRNA from 1 species